rnacentral:rRNA from 1 species
GGAGGGGAGGUGGGGAUGACGUCAAAUCAUCAUGCCCCUUAUGACCUGGGCUACACACGUGCUACAAUGGACGGUACAAAGAGCUGCAAGACCGCGAGGUGGAGCUAAUCUCAUAAAACCGUUCUCAGUUCGGAUUGUAGGCUGCAACUCGCCUACAUGAAGCUGGAAUCGCUAGUAAUCGCGGAUCAGCAUGCCGCGGUGAAUACGUUCCCGGGCCUUGUACACACCGCCCGUCACACCACGAGAGUUUGUAACACCCGAAGUCGGUGGAUAACCUUUAUCACC